ACGUAGGGGGCGAGCGUUGUCCGGAAUUACUGGGCGUAAAGAGCACGUAGGCGGGAAUUUAAGUCAAGUGUGAAAGACCGAGGCUCAACCUCGGGAUUGCAAGUGAAACUGGAUUUCUUGAGGGCAGGAGAGGAAAGCAGAAUUCCUGGUGUAGCGGUGAAAUGCGUAGAAAUCAGGAGGAAUACCAGUGGCGAGGGCGGCUUUCUGGACUGACCCUGACGCUGAGGUGCGAAAGCGUGGGUAGCAAACAG
rnacentral:rRNA from 1 species